rnacentral:rRNA from 1 species
AUGAUAGGUUAUUUUUGGAACAUCAGAGGGUUGAAUGGACCCAUUAAAAUUGACAAACUUAAAGAGCUCAUUAGAGCCAAUAGCCUUGAUUUUGUUUGCAUUUCUGAGACUAAGAAAGAAGAAUUUACUCUUCUUCAGAUUGAAGCCUUUGACCCUAGGUCUACUUUUCAAUGGAAAUGGCUCCCUGCAAAUAACACUGCGGGAGGGAUCUUAAUUGGGUGCAAGGUGGAUAUGUUUGAAAUGAUUCAGUGUGAUUUACUCAAUUUCAGCAUAUCGUGUUUGGUCAAAAACAAACAAGAUAACUCCAUUUGGAGGUUGGUCGCAGUAUAUGGCACUGCUUAUGAGCAGUUCAAGAUGAAUUUCAUAAAUGAACUUCACUCCUUAUUUUCUAUCUGGUCAGGACCAACUCUAGUUGGAGGUGACUUCAAUUUAAUUAGAGAAGCCAGUGAUAAAAAUACUGGUGUUAUUAAUCAACACUGGGUUGAUCUGUUUAAUGACUGGAUCAAU